rnacentral:rRNA from 1 species
GCUUGGCCCUUAACAUAAAUAGCACAAAUACAAUGCUAUUCGCCAGAGAACUACGAGUGAAAAACUUAAAACUCCAAGGACUUGGCGGUGCUCCACACCGACCUAGAGGAGCCUGUCCUAUAAUCGAUACCCCCCGUUCAACCUUACCAUUUUUUGCAGCUCAGCCUAUAUACCGCCGUCGUCAGCCUACCUCAUGAGAGACAAAAAGUAGGCAAAAUAGUUAUAUACUAGCACGUCAGGUCAAGGUGUAGCACAUAAAGUGGUAGAGAUGGGCUACAUUUUCUACGCCAGAAGAAACGAAUGACACAGUGAAACCCGUGUCUGAAGGAGGAUUUAGCCGUAAGCCUAAGCCAGAGAACUUGACUAAACACCGCUCUGGAGCACGCACACACCGCCCGUCA